rnacentral:rRNA from 1 species
ACGUAGGAGGCGAGCGUUAUCCGGAUUUACUGGGCGUAAAGCGUCUGUAGGCGGACUUGUAAGUUGGACGUGAAAGCUCCGGGCUUAACCCGGAGAGGCCGUUCAAUACUGCGAGACUAGAGGGCGUGAGAGGGGAGCGGAAUUCCCGGUGUAGCGGUAAAAUGCGCAGAUAUCGGGAGGAACACCAGUGGCGCAGGCGGCUCCCUGGUACGCACCUGACGCUGAGAGACGAAAGCUAGGGGAGCGAACAGGAUUAGAUACCCUGGUAGUCCUAGCCCUAAACGCUGGAUGCUAGGUGUGGGGCCGAACAGGCUCUGUGCCGCAGCUAACGCGCUAAGCAUCCCGCCUGGGGAGUACGGCCGCAAGGCUAAAACUCAAACGAAUUGACGGGGCCCCGCACAAGCAGCGGAGCGUGUGGUUUAAUUCGAUGUUACACGAAGAACCUUACCUGGGAUUGACAUGGAGGUGGUAGGGAAGCGAAAGCGGACCGACUCUUCGGAGAGCCUUCACAGGUGCUGCAUGGCUGUCGUCAGCUCGUGCCGUGAGGUGUCGGGUUAAGUCCCGUAACGAGCGCAACCCUUGCCCUUAGUUACAAGUGUCUAGGGGGACUGCCGGCGGGAAGCCGGAGGAAGGUGGGGAUGACGUCAAGUCAGCAUGGCCCUUAUGUCCAGGGCUACACAC